rnacentral:tRNA from 1 species
ACCCGUCUGGCUCAGUUGGUAGAGCAUGGAACUCUUGAUCUCGGGAUUGUGGGUUUGAACCCCACAUUUGGUA